UGCAAACAUCGACUGAUAAGCAAAGAAAAUAUUCGAAGCCUUAGAAAAUUAUGAUGAAGAACAUGAUGCAAACCCGCAGACUUGUUUUGCUUUUGCUGGUGCUUGGAUGCUUUACUUCUCAUGCAAAUUGCCAAGCUAAGAAGGAGACGAUGGAUGAGGAAAAGAUUGUUAUCCCACCCUGCCGUUUCUGCUUAAAGGACAAACAACUAAUACCACCCACCCCUCUCCCUUGGUGUUGUAUCCUUGAAGGCGGUCUUUGCUACAAAACUAAGGUUGAAUGUCAGAUAAACUGUGGAUGCUAGAUGACGCUAAUGAAAGAUUAUGAAAAAGUUGUUUUUUGUCAAAACUAAGGCAAAAUCUUUGCCACAUCUCAUUAAUAAAAAGGAAGGUUAAUAA